CUGGCUCAGAAUGAACGUUGGCAGCAUGGAUUAGGCAUGCAAGUCGAGCGUGCGUCUUUGGCGCAAGCGGCGAAAGGGUGAGUAAAGCAUAGGUAAUUUACCCAUAUGUUCGGGAUAACAUCCUUAACGGGUUGCUAAUACCGGAUGUUGCGUAACAUCUGCAUGGAUGAUAUGUAAAAGGCGGAGAGAUCUGCCGCAUAUGGAGGAGCUUAUGUCCUAUUAGCCAGCUGGUGGGGUAACGGCCUACCAGGGCGAUGAUGGGUAGCCGGGUCGAGAGGCUGUCCGGCCACACUGGGACUGAGACACUGCCCAGACUCCUACGGGAGGCUGCAGUCGAGAAUCUUCGGCAAUGGACGAAAGUCUGACCGAGCGAUGCUGCGUGGAUGAUGAAGGUCUUCGGAUUUGUAAAAUCCUGUUAGAAGCUAGGAAAUUUAUUGUAUGUAACUAUGCAGUAAUUGACAUAAACUUCAAAGAAAGCCACGGCUAAAUUCGUGCCAGCAGCCGCGGUAAUACGAAUGUGGCGAACGUUAUUCGGAAUUACUGGGCGUAAAGGGCGCGUAGGCGGUGAUACAAGUCUGAUGUGAAAUCCCCCGGCCUAACCGGGGAAUUGCGUUGGAAACUGUAUUGCUUGAGUGUGACAGGGGGAAGUGGAACUCCAGGUGGAGCGGUGAAAUGCGUAGAUAUCUGGAGGAACGCCGGCGGCGAAAGCGGCUUCCUGGGUCACAACUGACGCUGAGGCGCGAAAGCCAGGGUAGCGAACGGGAUUAGAUACCCCGGUAGUCCUGGCCGUAAACGAUGGAUACUUGAUAGUAGGGGAGUUGGUGCCUUUACUGUCGUAGCAAACGCGUUAAGUAUCCCGUCUGGGCAGUACGACCGCA
rnacentral:rRNA from 1 species